UGGGGAAUUUUGGACAAUGGGCGCAAGCCUGAUCCAGCCAUUCCGCGUGCAGGAUGAAGGCCCUCGGGUUGUAAACUGCUUUUGUACGGAACGAAAGGGUGCUGGUUAAUACCCGGCGCUGAUGACGGUACCGUAAGAAUAAGCACCGGCUAACUACGUGCCAGCAGCCGCGGUAAUACGUAGGGUGCGAGCGUUAAUCGGAAUUACUGGGCGUAAAGCGUGCGCAGGCGGUUGUGUAAGACAGAUGUGAAAUCCCCGGGCUUAACCUGGGAACUGCAUUUGUGACUGCACGGCUGGAGUGCGGCAGAGGGGGAUGGAAUUCCGCGUGUAGCAGUGAAAUGCGUAGAUAUGCGGAGGAACACCGAUGGCGAAGGCAAUCCCCUGGGCCUGCACUGACGCUCAUGCACGAAAGCGUGGGGAGCAAACAG
rnacentral:rRNA from 1 species